CGUUCUAGAGCUGUGCCAAUGCGUAGUGAUAAAGCGUAGUAUUUGUGCCAUUCCCGAAGUUUCAGUUGAUUCUCCUUCGGUAUUGAGACGACAAUUUCUCAAAAAUUCUGCUCUACGCGAGUAAAUUUAGAAUUGGCCUCAAUUGUGAUUGCAAUCCUGAUCACAGCUCAUCAAGACAGCCCUUUACAUUCAUCGCAAUUUGCUCGCCACUCUAAGUUAUGAAGUAAUUUCGCCACAGAAACGUACACUUUGCUGGGACCAAUUUUCGUAAAGUGUUCGAACUGUUUUCGGUUCUUUAUUUCUGUUUAUUUGAUAAAUUUGACGAAUCCUUAGUCGCCCUGAGUGACAUCAACGUCCCGCAAGUUAUGUAACUGUUAACGUCCAGAAAAACCAGCACAUCGUUUAUUCAAUUUGGGAGAAUUUCAUAGUCAAGUAAAAUGAUUGGGGCAAUGCCAGCAGUGGCAGUACGCCAUGAAAGACGCAAAGGACAAGACAAAAGAAACAAAAGACCCAGCCAACUUUACAUAGCCGACCAUUGGCUACCGCCUAACAGUCCAAGCCCUACUCCCAGUCCGGGUACCAACGACGAUGGUACCGAAAGACUGCCAGAAGUGUACUUGUGUGGAAAUGUAAGCGCUAAUUUCCCGCAUUCAAAAUAGGCGAAUAAUCCGCACACUUUUUCUUAACAUCAGCAAAUUGCGCAGUUGGCUGGAGGC
rnacentral:misc_RNA from 1 species